CAGUCGUAUCGACGAGAAAUCAACCUUUCGAGUGCGAACCUGUGGGCGUGCGUGAGUCUUUAACGGGCCUCGCUGUUUGCAAUGUUUGUGCUUUUGGGGUGUACUUUUUCGUACGGUUAGUCAACAUCGGUUUUGAAUGUCAUAAAUGACUGGAGGAAUGUAGCUUCGAUCUCGUAUUGAAGUGUUAUAGCCUUUGGUAGAUGUGAUGUUUGAGACCGAGGAUUGCAACGGAUACCCUUUAGGGCUAUUCGUUUGAUCUCUGAUACGUUGCCUUGAUG
rnacentral:rRNA from 1 species